UGGAGCCCAGGGACUUCCGGGAGCUCGUGCAGAGGCUCACGGGCGCCGGCACGCCCUCCGCCGCCGCCGGCGCGCCGGGCCCGUCGCCGCACCAGAGGGCGACGACGCUGACGCCGGCCAUGGUCACUGCGGACAGCAGGCGCGCCCAGGCCGCGGCGGCCGUGCCCGUGCCCGGGCCAACCGAGCAGUUCGACUACGCGUCCUGGUUCUCCGCGCCGCUGCUCAGCCCGGCGGCGUACGGCGCGCCGGGCUUCGGUGGCGGACACCAGCAGCACCAGGGGAGCAGUGGGCCUCUGCUUUAGGGCUUGUAGGUACAGUAGAAAACAGAGUCGUCGUCGUCCCUGUAUAGCUGCUCCAUCGCUGG
rnacentral:lncRNA from 1 species